GGUGAGUAACACGCGAGUAACCUGCCCUUGACUUUGGGAUAACUUCAGGAAACUGGGGCUAAUACCGGAUAGGAGCUCCUGCUGCAUGGUGGGGGUUGGAAAGUUUCGGCGGUUGGGGAUGGACUCGCGGCUUAUCAGCUUGUUGGUGGGGUAGUGGCUUACCAAGGCUUUGACGGGUAGCCGGCCUGAGAGGGUGACCGGCCACAUUGGGACUGAGAUACGGCCCAG
rnacentral:rRNA from 1 species